GGAGAAAGGCUCGGCUGGAGGCAUGUUGGACCUUUGCAUGUGAAGGAGUUUUUAAUGUUCUUUGUGAGAAAGUUACCCCCUUUUCCUGGUUUCUGGGUACUUUUAUCAUGAACAGAUGCUUUUUCUUCAACUAAAAUGAUUUUUGGGGGAUGAUAUUGAUUUUUUUUUUUUCUUGACCGUUGAACCAGUCUUGCAUACCUGAGGGAAAAAAAAUCCCACUUGCUCAUAUUAUAAAAUUCUCUUUAUACAUUGUUGUAUUCAAUUUGCUAAUAUAUUUGAGAAGUCUGUGUUUAAAUUCAUGAAAGAUAUUGGCCUGUAGUUUUCUAUUUUUGAAUUGUUUCUGUCUGACUUAGGCAUCAAGGUAAUACGGGACUCAUAAAAUGAGCUGGCAGGUAAGGCUGGCAUGUGGAGGUGGAGGUCUGGAAGAAAUGUCAUUACUACUUUCUGCUCAUCCAAGCUGCAGUUCUGGUGGCUCUCUGAGCUGAAGACUUCUAGACCAAGGAAUUUUGUUUUAAUUUUAUAUCCAGACUGUGAAGAGGAAGCCAAUAGUCACCGAAAUAAGGAGAAGUUUGUUGUAAAACCAAGUACAAUGAAAACAGUUAUUAAUCUUCAGCAAGUUCCUGCCUCCCAUGAUAGCUAAUAGGGCUUUAUUUAUGAGAGUGAGAAAAAGAGAGGCAUCACUGGAGAUGAAGGUGCUCCUCACUGACACCUUCUCCUUGACCUAAUCAGCAGGAUGGAGAUGGGGCAAAAAACAAAUUUCUCAAGUCAAUCUCCAAGGGUCAGGAAUUGAUCCUCCUCUGCCACCACCACGAGGAAACCUCAUCUGAGAAGCGGGUCCCAGGAAUCCAGUGGAUUUUUCUGGAUUGAGUUGCAGGCACAGCAGUUGUUGACCAACUGACAGCAGUGAGAACGCUCCAACAGGAGGAGGGGGUCGAAUGUAACUGCUCGGGAAGCAAUGGAGUCCCUGGGCCCAAGGUGGCCUCUGAUUGCUGCUGUCUGUUUCCCAGGCCUUCCUCUCACCCCGCUGCUGGGGCCCUCAGUCUGAUGGGGCCUAGCCUGAUGUGGCCGUUCAGCAGGUGUUGCCACGAGCUGGCAGCUCACAAUCUGAGCCAGUGACAGUGUGGUGAUCCAGGGACACUCAAGGGCCAGCUGAGGGCCAGUCGAGGGCUGUCGCUUAAAUUCCAGCCUGGCAGGUGGCCACCAGCGGCUGGAGGCUGCUACAGGACGCACGUGCUUCCCCACCUGUGGCCCGAGUUCAUGACCCCCACCCAGAGCCUGUCCAGGGCAAGGUCUGGCCUUAGUCUGUACCUGAAACUGCCCCAGCCCCAGCCCCCAGCCCUAAGCCCUGCAGCCUUUCUGCCUCUUGUGAACACACACGGGAUUAAUUAUCUCUUCAGCUGGAGCCAGAGAUUGCAAACUCAGUGUCUCUAACAGGCUAGGGGGUAGAGGUAACGUGAAAUAGAGAACUGGAAACAGAGGCCUGGGUGGGCUGGUGAGGACUUGUCUAGUCUCGAGCAGUCCUGCUACACCUCCGCCAACUGUCCCCCUGGGGAAAGGGGGACACAGAGAUAGGCUUCCAGCUUUUCAGGCAGAGCUGGAAGUUGCUUUGCAAAAUCAUUCAGUUAAAAAAAAAAGUUGACAGCUAAUCUAUAAAUGUGCAUGUGCUUGAUAAAGACAUAUGUUAGCUCCCUCUAGACUCUUUUGGAAGAAUUGUAGCAACCCGAAUAUAAUGAUAAAGGUCACUGGCCUCAGAAUUGAGGAGGCAGUAACGAGAGACGGGGACUAUGGAGAACGGAAGAGCCCACACCCCAAGAAAGAGAUGGACUGUU
ensembl:lncRNA